UACGUAGGGGCAAGCGUUGUCCGGAUUUAUUGGGCGUAAAGAGCGUGUAGGCGGCCAGACAGGUCCGUUGUGAAACUAGAGGCUUAACCUCUAGACGUCGGAUGGAACCGUCUGGCUAGAGUCCGGAAGAGGAGAAUGGAAUUCCUGGGUGUAGCGGUGAAUGCGCAGAUAUCAGGAAGAACACCCGUGGCGAAGGCGGCUCUCUGGGACGGUACUGGACGCUGAGACGCGAAAGCCGUGGGGAGCGAACAGG
rnacentral:rRNA from 1 species